AGACCCGAAACCCGGUGAUCUAGCCAUGGGCAGGUUGAAGGUUGGGUAACACUAACUGGAGGACCGAACCGACUAAUGUUGAAAAAUUAGCGGAUGACCUGUGGCUGGGGGUGAAAGGCCAAUCAAACCGGGAGAUAGCUGGUUCUCCCCGAAAGCUAUUUAGGUAGCGCCUCGUGAAUUCAUCUCCGGGGGUAGAGCACUGUUUCGGCUAGGGGGCCAUCCCGGCUUACCAACCCGAUGCAAACUGCGAAUACCGGAGAAUGUUAUCACGGGAGACACACGGCGGGUGCUAACGUCCGUCGUGAAGAGGGAAACAACCCAGACCGCCAGCUAAGGUCCCAAAGUCAUGGUUAAGUGGGAAACGAUGUGGGAAGGCCCAGACAGCCAGGAUGUUGGCUUAGAAGCAGCCAUCAUUUAAAGAAAGCGUAAUAGCUCACUGGUCGAGUCGGCCUGCGCGGAAGAUGUAACGGGGCUAAACCAUGCACCGAAGCUGCGGCAGCGACACUGUGUGUUGUUGGGUAGGGGAGCGUUCUGUAAGCCUGUGAAGGUGUGUCGUGAGGCAUGCUGGAGGUAUCAGAAGUGCGAAUGCUGACAUAAGUAACGAUAAAGCGGGUGAAAAGCCCGCUCGCCGGAAGACCAAGGGUUCCUGUCCAACGUUAAUCGGGGCAGGGUGAGUCGACCCCUAAGGCGAGGCCGAAAGGCGUAGUCGAUGGGAAACGGGUUAAUAUUCCCGUACUUGGUGUUACUGCGAAGGGGGGACGGAGAAGGCUAUGUUGGCCGGGCGACGGUUGUCCCGGUUUAAGCGUGUAGGUGUGUGUUCCAGGUAAAUCCGGUUCACUUUAACACUGAGGCGUGACGACGAGGCACUACGGUGCUGAAGCAACAAAUGCCCUGCUUCCAGGAAAAGCCUCUAAGCAUCAGGUAACAUCAAAUCGUACCCCAAACCGACACAGGUGGUCAGGUAGAGAAUACCAAGGCGCUUGAGAGAACUCGGGUGAAGGAACUAGGCAAAAUGGUGCCGUAACUUCGGGAGAAGGCACGCUGACACGUAGGUGAAGUGAUUUACUCAUGGAGCUGAAGUC
rnacentral:rRNA from 1 species